GAUGAACGCUGGCGGCGUGCCUAAUACAUGCAAGUCGAGCGAACUGAUUAGAAGCUUGCUUCUAUGACGUUAGCGGCGGACGGGUGAGUAACACGUGGGCAACCUGCCUGGAAGACUGGGAUAACUUCGGGAAACCGAAGCUAAUACCGGAGAGGAUCUUCUCCUUCCUGGGAGAUGAUUGAAAGAUGGUUUCGGCUAUCCCUUAUAGAUGGGCCCGCGGUGCAUUAGCUAGUUGGUGAGGUAACGGCUCACCAAGGCAACGAUGCAUAGCCGACCUGAGAGGGUGAUCGGCCACACUGGGACUGAGACACGGCCCAGACUCCUACGGGAGGCAGCAGUAGGGAAUCUUCCGCAAUGGACGAAAGUCUGACGGAGCAACGCCGCGUGAGUGAUGAAGGCUUUCGGGUCGUAAAACUCUGUUGUUAGGGAAGAACAAGUACGAGAGUAACUGCUCGUACCUUGACGGUACCUAACCAGAAAGCCACGGCUAACUACGUGCCAGCAGCCGCCGUAAAAC
rnacentral:rRNA from 1 species